GCUUCAAAACUUGUCUGCUUAUUACAAUCUACAAAGUCAAGACAAUUUAAUUAAAAGAUUUUAUUCCCCGUGCUGUAUCUGGACCUGUCCAGCAGGUGUGGGAUGGGAGAAUUUUCUGCCGGAGAACAGCCUGUGACUGCGAGAACCCCAGUGCUGAUCUCUUCUGCUGCCCAGAGUGUGGCACUCAUGUCACCAGCCAGUGCCUCGACCAAAUGGGGCACAAGCUCUACCACAGUGGGGACAACUGGACCUACAGCUGUCAGCAGUGCUGUUGCCUGGAAGGAGAAGUGGACUGUUGGCCUCUUCUGUGCCCCAAUCUAAACUGCGAGUAUGCAGCCAUUUCAGAGGGAGAGUGCUGUCCCCGCUGCGUCAGUGACCCCUCCCUGGCUGACAACAUCACUUAUGACAUCAGGAAAACCUGUCUAGAUGGCUAUGGAAUUACAAGACUUAGUGGCACCAUAUGGACCAUGGUGGGAUCUCCUUGUACAACCUGCAAAUGCAAAGUACGAUGGACAAGGUUGAAUGGUAAUGGAAAUGUUUGUUGCUACAUAAAAACAGGGUCAUUUUCUGCCCUUGGAAGCUCAUAUUCAGAUUGCUGCAAAGUGAAUCAGACCUGAGGGCAGAAAAAGUAGCAUACCAAAAAAAUGUCUUAUGUGGUCUGCAGGGUGGAAACAGAACAAUCUGUGCUUGUUUUCUUAAAAAUGUUGAUCACAGCUAUGCAAUAUCCUAGCACAAUUUACAGACAUUCUGUUGGCGAGCCUUUCAGGCAUUUUUAGUAUGAAACUAGGCUAACAUUUUAAUAAUUAAUUCAUGUGAAUGUUUAUGAAAAUGUAUUAGUAUUCUUGACUCUGCUUACCAGCUCUGCAAAAGACAAGUUUCACCAGCAAGUAUACAAGUAGAAACCCCAUAUGAAGGCACUUCCAUAAGAGAAGUGGGAGGGAAAUGUCACAGUUUCUAUUCCCUAAUCGCAUCGUCAUGUAUUUUGUCCAGUGGCUCUAAGGUAGAAGAACAGUCUGUCUCCCCUUUUCCAUGCAGUGAUGAUCCCACUGGGCUACUUUUCUGUGACCUCUCUUGUGUACUAUCCCUGAUCUCAAAAAUUUUGUAUGGUUUUCUGAUCAGUGGGCCAGCACGAACAGGGAGAGAGCAAGGGCACACCUGCUUUAUUUGCUGCUCUCUGAGUAGAUCAGAGAGGUCACUGUGUAGGGAGUACUCUAACCCAUAAGUAUGUACAUAAUGAACACUGCCACUGCCAGCAGUUUUCCAGAGAAAGGGUAAAGGCAAUUGUCUUUAAACAAGGUAGAUAAUGCAGAGCAGUGUGUGCCAGGAGGAGCUCCAAGCUAGCAAGCUCAGCCUCCCCUAAGUGCCUACUUUGGGGCUGUAGGAGGGACCAGGACCAGAACAAUUAUUUUCCAGCAUUUCCUGGCAGUUGGUUCAGGCAUUGUUUUACCAGCUGUUCUCCUACCACAAUGUAUGCAGUGUGAACCUUGUGCCUGGAUGCUGCGCUUCCCCAUUUACUGAGCUUACAGUUUGAAAUUGUAACCUUUCUGGCAUCUGGCCUGGUCUACUAGGUUCUUGCCUGCUCCUGCCCUUUGCCACAGUUCACUGCCCUUCAGUUGUACAUGAGUAAAUGUUUUAGAGGCUGUGAUAUAAGCAGAAAUGGCAAAAUGGUCCAGAUUAAAAAGUGCAAUUUUCUGUAAAUUUAUUUUUAUAUUUAUACAGAGGUGAUGCUAGUGAUCCAGAAUACAGUGUUCCUCAAAAAAAAAAAAAAAUCACCUGAUUUUAUAAGUGGUCAGGAAAAAGUAUCUUAAGGUAGUUGUCACCAAAGCCAGUCAUUGUGGACUUAAGGCUGUAGUAGAUACAUUCUGUUUACAAAGGGCUAAUAAAAACUAGAUGACAGUGUCCUGUUUGCUGCUAUUUCCAGACUCCAUGGAAGCAUGAAUUCUGUGCUUUGUGUAACUCUAAGUGAAAACUGAUCUUCUCUUGCUUUUUAACAAAAACUAAUGAACAGAAUUAUGAAAAUAUUGCUUUGUAUUACAUAAAAUAUUCUUGUGUUCACUGUGGGAAACCAAGCUGUUUUUUC